rnacentral:rRNA from 1 species
UACGUAGGGUCCGAGCGUUGUCCGGAAUUAUUGGGCGUAAAGGGCUCGUAGGCGGUCUGUUGCGUCGGGUGUGAAAACUUACAGCUUAACUGUGAGCGUGCUUCCGAUACGGGCAGACUUGAGGUAUUCAGGGGAGAGCGGAAUUCCUGGUGUAGCGGUGAAAUGCGCAGAUAUCAGGAGGAACACCGGUGGCGAAGGCGGUUCUCUGGGAAUAUCCUGACGCUGAGGAGCGAAAGUGUGGGGAGCGAACAGG